rnacentral:rRNA from 1 species
AACGAACGCUGGCGGAAUGCCUAACACAUGCAAGUCGAACGAGUUGUGUAGCAAUACACGACUAGUGGCGGACGGGUGAGGAACACAUAGGAAUCUACCCUUGUAGUGGGGAAUAACCCGGGGAAACCCGGACUAAUGCCGCAUACGCACUAAGGUGGAAAGCGGGGGAUCGUAAGACCUCGCGCUAUAGGAUGAGCCUAUGUCGGAUUAGCUAGUUGGUAGGGUAACGGCCUACCAAGGCGACGAUCCGUAGCUGGUCUGAGAGGACGAUCAGCCACACUGGAACUGAGACACGGUCCAGACUCCUACGGGAGGCAGCAGUGGGG